AAACCCAGUGCAAUUCGUUGCACUAUCGUUAACUGAAUACAUAGGUUAACGAGGCGAACCGGGGGAACUGAAACAUCUAAGUACCCCGAGGAAAAGAAACCAACCGAGAUUCCCCCAGUAGCGGCGAGCGAACGGGGAGCAGCCCAGAGUCUGAAUCAGCUUGUGUGUUAGUGGAACGGUCUGGAAAGUCCGACGGUACAGGGUGAUAGUCCCGUACACCAAAUGCACAGGCUGUGAACUCGAAGAGUAGGGCGGGACACGUGGUAUCCUGUCUGAAUAUGGGGGACCAUCCUCCAAGGCUAAAUACUCCUGACUGACCGAUAGUGAACCAGUACCGUGAGGGAAAGGCGAAAAGAACCCCGGCGAGGGGAGUGAAAAAGAACCUGAAACCGUGUACGUACAAGCAGUGGGAGCACCUUCGGGUGUGACUGCGUACCUUUUGUAUAAUGGGUCAGCG
rnacentral:rRNA from 1 species